ensembl:snoRNA Gm25766 predicted gene, 25766
CUUGCCCCAGAGGUGUUGUAGGCAUGGCUGCUGCGUCACAUUCGGGUCAGUAGGUGGCAGAGAGGAGAGAGGCUGUGUCUAUGCUCAGUGUUCUGACCUAGGAACAUCUGAAUGAUUAGUAGCCUAACAUU